rnacentral:rRNA from 1 species
UGAGGAAUAUUGGUCAAUGGGCGCAAGCCUGAACCAGCCAUCCCGCGUGAAGGAAGAAUGCGCUACGCGUUGUAAACUUCUUUUCCAGGGGGAGAAUAAUCCUGUCGUGACAGGACUUGACGGUACUCUGGGAAUAAGCAUCGGCUAACUCCGUGCCAGCAGCCGCGGUAAUACAGAGGAUGCGAGCGUUAUCCGGAUUUAUUGGGUUUAAAGGGUGCGUAGGCGGAUUGAUAAGUCAGUGGUGAAAUUCUACAGCUUAACUGUAGACUUGCCGUUGAUACUGUUAGUCUUGAGUGUGGUCAAGGCAGGCGGAAUGUGUAAUGUAGCGUGAAAUGCUUAGAUAUACACAGAACACCGAUUGCGAAGGCAGCUUGCUGGGUCAUUACUGACGCUGAUGCAC